rnacentral:rRNA from 1 species
GCUCAGGACGAACGCUGGCGGCGUGCCUAAUACAUGCAAGUCGAGCGGACAGAUGGGAGCUUGCUCCCUGAUGUUAGCGGCGGACGGGUGAGUAACACGUGGGUAACCUGCCUGUAAGACUGGGAUAACUCCGGGAAACCGGGGCUAAUACCGGAUGGUUGUCUGACCCGCAUGGUUCAGACAUAAAAGGUGGCUUCGGCUACCACUUACAGAUGGACCCGCGGCGCAUUAGCUAGUUGGUGAGGUAACGGCUCACCAAGGCGACGAUGCGUAGCCGACCUGAGAGGGUGAUCGGCCACACUGGGACUGAGACCCGGCCCAGACUCCUACGGGAGGCAGCAGUAGGGAAUCUUCCGCAAUGGACGAAAGUCUGACGGAGCAACGCCGCGUGAGUGAUGAAGGUUUUCGGAUCGUAAAGCUCUGUUGUUAGGGAAGAACAAGUGCCGUUCAAAUAGGGCGGCACCUUGACGGUACCUAACCAGAAAGCCACGGCUAACUACGUGCCAGCAGCCGCGGUAAUACGUAGGUGGCAAGCGUUGUCCGGAAUUAUUGGGCGUAAAGGGCUCGCAGGCGGUUUCUUAAGUCUGAUGUGAAAGCCCCCGGCUCAACCGGGGAGGGUCAUUGGAAACUGGGGAACUUGAGUGCAGAAGAGGAGAGUGGAAUUCCACGUGUAGCGGUGAAAUGCGUAGAGAUGUGGAGGAACACCAGUGGCGAAGGCGACUCUCUGGUCUGUAACUGACGCUGAGGAGCGAAAGCGUGGGGAGCGAACAGGAUUAGAUACCCUGGUAGUCCACGCCGUAAACGAUGAGUGCUAAGUGUUAGGGGGUUUCCGCCCCUUAGUGCUGCAGCUAACGCAUUAAGCACUCCGCCUGGGGAGUACGGUCGCAAGACUGAAACUCAAAGGAAUUGACGGGGGCCCGCACAAGCGGUGGAGCAUGUGGUUUAAUUCGAAGCAACGCGAAGAACCUUACCAGGUCUUGACAUCCUCUGACAAUCCUAGAGAUAGGACGUCCCCUUCGGGGGCAGAGUGACAGGUGGUGCAUGGUUGUCGUCAGCUCGUGUCGUGAGAUGUUGGGUUAAGUCCCGCAACGAGCGCAACCCUUGAUCUUAGUUGCCAGCAUUCAGUUGGGCACUCUAAGGUGACUGCCGGUGACAAACCGGAGGAAGGUGGGGAUGACGUCAAAUCAUCAUGCCCCUUAUGACCUGGGCUACACACGUGCUACAAUGGACAGAACAAAGGGCAGCGAAACCGCGAGGUUAAGCCAAUCCCACAAAUCUGUUCUCAGUUCGGAUCGCAGUCUGCAACUCGACUGCGUGAAGCUGGAAUCGCUAGUAAUCGCGGAUCAGCAUGCCGCGGUGAAUACGUUCCCGGGCCUUGUACACACCGCCCGUCACACCACGAGAGUUUGUAACACCCGAAGUCGGUGAGGUAACCUUUUAGGAGCCAGCCGCCGAAGGUGGGACAGAUGAUUGGGGUGAAG